rnacentral:rRNA from 1 species
UACGGAAGGCAGCAGUGGGGAAUAUUGCACAAUGGGCGCAAGCCUGAUGCAGCCAUGCCGCGUGUAUGAAGAAGGCCUUCGGGUUGUAAAGUACUUUCAGCGGGGAGGAAGGCGAUGCGGUUAAUAACCGCGUCGAUUGACGUUACCCGCAGAAGAAGCACCGGCUAACUCCGUGCCAGCAGCCGCGGUAAUACGGAGGGUGCAAGCGUUAAUCGGAAUUACUGGGCGUAAAGCGCACGCAGGCGGUCUGUUAAGUCAGAUGUGAAAUCCCCGGGCUUAACCUGGGAACUGCAUUUUGAACUGGCAGGCUUGAGUCUUGUAGAGGGGGUAGAAUUCCAGGUGUAGCGGUGAAAUGCGUAGAGAUCUGGAGGAAUACCGGUGGCGAAGGCGGCCCCUGGGACAAAGACUGACGCUCAGGGUGCGAAAGCGUGGGGAGCGAAACAGGGAUUAGGAUA